rnacentral:rRNA from 1 species
UACGUAGGGAGCAAGCGUUGUCCGGAAUCAUUGGGCGUAAAGCGCGCGUAGGCGGCCCCGUAAGUCCGCUGUGAAAGACCGAGGCUCAACCUCGGGAUGUCAACGGAGACUGUCGGGCUUGGAGUGUCGGAGAGGAGCGGGGAAUCCCUGGUGUAGCGGUGGAAUGCGUAGAUAUCGGGAGGAACACCAGUGGCGAAGGCGGUUGCCUGGAGCUUUGCUGACGCUGAUGCGCGAAAGCGUGGGGAGCGAUCCGG